rnacentral:rRNA from 1 species
UACGGAGGAGGCAAGCGUUAUCCGGAAUUAUUGGGCGUAAAGCGUCCGUAGGUGGUGGGGCAAGUCGGCGGUUAAAGACUGGGGCUUAACUCCAGAAAGGCCGUGGAAACUGCACCACUAGAGGGCAGUAGGGGUAGAGGGAAUUCCCGGUGUAGCGGUGAAAUGCGUAGAGAUCGGGAAGAACACCAGUGGCGAAAGCGCUCUACUGGACUGCAACUGACACUCAGGGACGAAAGCUAGGGGAGCGAAUGGG